AUUGCUCUGUGAGGGGACUGCACGCCUGGGAGGAGCAUUGCUGAAGUGUUGAAAUUUCUACCUGCCCAUUCCCUUCCUUCAGGUUUCCUUCUUACUGUAGCGAUGGCACCUCAGCAACUACACCUCUGUAUCUGCUACAGGAGGGAACCCUGCUGAAGGCUGCCUUUGUGCUCAUCAGGUAUUUUAGUAGAACUGUAGUUUGAGCCAUUCAGAUUAGUCUUAAAAGCCAUCCACAGCGUUUGGAGAAUUCCUUUCUGUCAGCACAUGCCAGCGGACACGAGGUAGCCAUGGUAUGGAGGACAGUCUGACUAACCCUAUGUGACCCUUCCAACCUGGAUGGACCUUCAUCUAUCAAGUUCCACAUCCUUGUACCUUGUAUAAAGACACCUUGGAGGGUGAGAGGCCCUGAUCAACACCUUGGUCACUGCACAAGUACAGAGGAAGGAUCAGUCACAGACAGCAGGCAAAUCUUAACACCGCUGGAAAAGGGAUACCGAGCAACCUUGUUUGGCCAGCAUUGCAGGAGCAGAAAGUCUACAGUGACAGAGGCAAUGGAGUCUCCUGAGACUUGCAAAAACUGGUCACUGCUGUGUGUAGGUGUGCAUUUAAUUGCACCCUGAGGUAUCAGCCUUCUUCCAACAGAGGUCUGGGCUCUCCUCAGUACCAAAAUGGGCCUCUUACAGUCAGCUGGCAUAUCUGUUCUCUAGCCCGCUUCAGGGUUGCUCUUAAGUUACACUGAGGCUGAAAUUGGAGGGACGAAGAUAUCUGGCACAAGACACAGCAAGAAAACAUCAUCUGGGCUAAGAGAAGAUUUAUUAAAGGAAUGCCUUUCAAAGACCAUCAAAAGGCAUCUCAUUGGUAUGUAACGGAACCACUCUUCUUCUUUAUGAAAAAAGAAACACAUCUGGCUUCAAAACUGGGCAACACUACCAAAAAACCAAACCACCCAACCAGGAAAGGAGAAGUGGAAAUUUGCGGCACUCUAGGGGCUGAGGCUGAAUACUACCUGAGCUGAUGCGCUCAUCAUUUUUUGUACAACAGUUUCCCACUUCAGGUUUGCUCAACUUUCUUGAUUUUGGUACUAAAUACCAAAUUUGAUGCACUGGCCCUUCAAAGAUCUCUGAAGUGGGGCUAUUUGUUUCAGUAGGACCAGAAAUUUAUUUAGAUUUCUUUCCCCUUAGGAGGUAUCGACUCUAUUUUUUUAUUGAUUUCCAUUGAUUUUUUUCUUUUUACCAGAAUGAUUUUUGUGAUGCUUUUCCUCAAAUAUCCCAGAUUGUAAGCCAUCCCACUUAUGUCCUAUAUAGUCCUAAUAAGUAUAUAGCAGACUUAAAAAGCUUACACGAGUGUCAUUAUUUCAGUGCAACCUACUCAUUCUUCGGAAUUAGAAAAUGAGAAGAAUCUCCAGCAUGAAACAUUUACUCAUCAAGAGAUUUCCAAUUCUUUGUUCUAUUUUCAAGAGGAUCGCCAAAUGGAGAAGUUAAUAGUAUAGAUUUACACCUGAACUGAAUACUGGAUGUCCCCAAAGGGCAAACAUUAAAGCAUUAAACCUGCUCAAGGGGAAAUGGCCAUAAACUGAAGCUUAGGAUGUUCCACAGCAUAUGUGAAAGAACUUCUUCACGGUGAGGGUGACGGAGCACUGGACCAGGCUGCCCAGGGAGGUGGUGGAUUCUCCUUCUCUGGAGUUAUUCAAGGCCCACCUGGAUGCCUAGCUGUGCAGCCUGCUGUAGGGAGCCUGCUUUGCAGAGGGGUUGGACUCAAUGAUCUCUAGAGGUCCCUUCCAAUUCUGUGAUUUCACUUUUGCUUCCUAAUUUCCUAAUUUCCUAAUUCACAGACUGAUAAUUUGAACUAUGAACUUCUCAACAUAAACGCAUACAUUGAAGGAGACAGCAUGGGGAAAGUGAGGGUUUUUCCCUUGGAUGUAUGUAUUUUCA
ensembl:lncRNA